rnacentral:SRP_RNA from 1 species
GCCAGGCAUGGUAGCGCAUGCUUGUAAUCCCAGCUACUCAGGAGGCUGAGGCAUGAGAAUUGCUUGAACCCAGGAGGCAGAGGUUGCAGUGAGCUGAGAUCAUGCCACUGUACUCUAGCCUGGGCAACAAAGCAAGAUCCUGUCUCAA